rnacentral:rRNA from 1 species
CCUACGGGUGGCAGCAGUGGGGAAUAUUGGACAAUGGGGGGCACCCUGAUCCAGCCAUGCCGCGUGUGUGAAGAAGGCCCUCGGGUUGUAAAGCACUUUCAGUGAGGAAGAACGCCUGGUGGUUAAUACCCAUCAGGAAAGACAUCACUCACAGAAGAAGCACCGGCUAACUCCGUGCCAGCAGCCGCGGUAAUACGGAGGGUGCGAGCGUUAAUCGGAAUUACUGGGCGUAAAGCGCGCGUAGGUGGCUUGAUAAGCCGGUUGUGAAAGCCCCGGGCUCAACCUGGGAACGGCAUCCGGAACUGUCAAGCUAGAGUGCAGGAGAGGAAGGUAGAAUUCCCGGUGUAGCGGUGAAAUGCGUAGAGAUCGGGAGGAAUACCAGUGGCGAAGGCGGCCUUCUGGACUGACACUGACACUGAGGUGCGAAAGCGUGGGUAGCAAACAGGAUUAGAUACCCUAGUAGUC